CCUACGGGCGGCAGCAGUGAGGAAUAUUGGUCAAUGGGCUUACGCCUGAACCAGCCAAGUCGCGUGAGGGAAGACUGCCCUAUGGGUUGUAAACCUCUUUUGUCAGGGAGCAAUUGGCGCUACGUGUAGCGUUAUCGAGAGUACCUGAAGAAAAAGCAUCGGCUAACUCCGUGCCAGCAGCCGCGGUAAUACGGAGGAUGCGAGCGUUAUCCGGAUUGAUUGGGUGUAAAGGGUGCGUAGGCGGAAUGCCAAGUCAGCGGUAAAAUCGCGGGGCUCAACCUCGCUCCGCCGUUGAAACUGGCGUUCUUGAGUGGGCGAGAAGUAUGCGGAAUGCGUGGUGUAGCGGUGAAAUGCAUAGAUAUCACGCAGAACUCCGAUUGCGAAGGCAGCAUACCGGCGCCCAACUGACGCUGAAGCACGAAAGCGUGGGUAUCGAACAGGAUUAGAUACCCUAGUAGUC
rnacentral:rRNA from 1 species